GUCACUUUGGCGGAGUGGUUAACGCGCUGCCCUGCUAAUUCACAGUUAGCUGCGAGGCAGUUCCUUCGGGAGCGUAGGUUCGAAUCCUACAGGUGACG
rfam:Chaetomium globosum CBS 148.51 scaffold_7 genomic scaffold, whole genome shotgun sequence.